AGGGCAUAAAUUUAGAACUUUUCUUCUAUCAAAAAUGAAGCUUUCAAAAAAGCCUGUGCCUCCAAGUUUCAGCUAAACUUCCUGAGAUGAGUAGGCAAACUGAAGGGGAACACAGGAGAUGGCCAUUAGUGAUACCUCUUUGUGCUUCACCAGCCCCCCAUCCCAAGCCAAAAUCACUACACUGGCCAAGGUUAAAUCUGUCCUAAAAUACCUUCUUCAUAUCUCUGAACAGUCAAGUGCCAAAAGAAAUGAACAGAUUGACCUGAGCUGAGGGAACCUGAAAAUUCUGCAAAAUUCCUU